rnacentral:rRNA from 1 species
UACGUAGGUGGCAAGCGUUGUCCGGAAUUAUUGGGCGUAAAGCGCGCGCAGGCGGUCCUUUAAGUCUGAUGUGAAAGCCCACGGCUCAACCGUGGAAGGUCAUUGGAAACUGGAGGACUUGAGUACAGAAGAGGAAAGCGGAAUUCCACGUGUAGCGGUGAAAUGCGUAGAGAUGUGGAGGAACACCAGUGGCGAAGGCGGCUUACUGGUCCGGUUCUGACGCUGAGGCGCGAAAGCGUGGGGAGCAAACAGG